rnacentral:rRNA from 1 species
GACGAACGCUGGCGGCGUGCUUAACACAUGCAAGUCGAACGGAAAGGCCCCUUUGGGGGUACUCGAGUGGCGAACGGGUGAGUAACACGUGAGUAACCUGCCCUUGACUUCGGGAUAACUUCAGGAAACUGGGGCUAAUACCGGAUAGGAAUCCUUGCUGCAUGGUGGGGGUUGGAAAGCUUCGGCGGUUUUGGAUGGACUCGCGGCUUAUCAGCUUGUUGGUGGGGUAGUGGCUUACCAAGGCUUUGACGGGUAGCCGGCCUGAGAGGGCGACCGGCCACAUUGGGACUGAGAUACGGCCCAGACUCCUACGGGAGGCAGCAGUGGGCAAUAUUGCACAAUGGGCGGAAGCCUGAUGCAGCAACGCCGCGUGCGGGAUGACGGCCUUCGGGUUGUAAACCGCUUUCAGCAGGGGCGAAGCUUGUGGUGACGGUACCUGCAGAAGAAGCACCGGCUAACUACGUG